CUGUUUUCUCCAGGGAUUCGGAUUGUGAAACUCCUGUCCCUGUGAUGAUUUUUGACCCUUGCUUUCCAGUCUGCCUGGAAAUUACUCCCUGUUAAUUUGCACCUUGACCAUGACCUAUGCUACCUUCUCCCAGACCCUGCUUUGUUCCAUCUGCUGGAUUUCCAUUGUCAGGGUCCUGCCCAGGACUAACCUCUGCUCAUGAACAUCUUCUGGAAUGACUGUCUUGGCACUGACCCACUCACCAUACUGACUAUGGUGAGGCGAGGCACCAUGUUGGAGAGCUCCCUUGGGAAAGAGCUGGAGGCUGAAUGAUCUACAUGGAAUGGCCAGACUCAGGAGGUCAUACCUGGCACCAAAAGAAUAAGUUAAUAAGUAAAAAUCUUAGAUAAAAUAAAGAAAGAGCAGGAAGAAAAAUCUGUCUCAUUCUACAAUCCACCAAUUUUUCCUGAGAUUAUUUGUCAGCUCUAAGGUCACUGACAGGCAGUACAUGGACUGAGUCAUUGGUACCUGCUUCACAGAUGUGGUGGGCAAAGAUAUCCUGUGGUGAGGAAGGGUGAGGGACACAGAAAGCGUCCAGACACUGGGAAUAAGUCUAUUAGUACUGCAAGGUUCUACCAUUUCUUAAGCUUCAGUGACUUUCAGCUUUAUUUCUUUCCCAUCACCCAUACACCAAAGUUUUAUUCCUAAGAUAUAGGAGACUGUUUUCCCUUACUUUUCCUUUUCCCCACCACCUUAAUGUCUUGUCUUUCAUUUCCACCUUUUCUUGAACUUAGAGUUUGUCCUGCCCUGCCUUACCUUGUCCUGUCCUUCCUUUCCCAUCCCUUCCAUUCCCUCCCCUUCCCCUCCUGCCCCCUCCUCUGUUCUCCUUUCCUCUCAUUUCUUUCUUUCUCUCUCUACUUCCUUCCCCUUCCCUCCUUCUCUGUCUUUCUCUCUGUGUAUCUGUCUCUCUAUGUCUGUCUCUCUAUGUCUGUCUGUCUGUCUGUCUGUCUGUCUCUCUCUCUCUCUCUCUCGCACAUCAACUCUUUUUAAAAUUUUUGGACAGGGUCUAAAUAAGUCUCUAGAUUUCCAGGCCUAAGUUAGAAUUUCUGAUCUUCCUCCCUCAGCCUUCCAGAGUGCUGGGAUUACUGGUAUGUAUCACCAUGCCUGGCUGAAUUUACUUUUUCAAUGUCAUAAAAGGCAGUAUAUUCAGGAUCUAGGCUCCAAGUUCAAGGCCAGGAAAAAUUAAGGAAUUUUCCCAAGGUUAUGCACAUGGGGAUGAGUGGAAUAAGAAUAAGAGUGGGGCUCGUGUAGUGGUGGCAUGCAAAUGAAUCCCCAGUUCUAGGACAGACAUUGUCCUGGGCUGUGAGGAAAUCCUAGUGAAUAAGAUGGGAAAGUUCUUAGAGAAUAAAAAGUCAUAUUCUAAAGGCAAAUGAUAUGAAAUAAGCAUAUAAUAAAUAAAUUAAUGGCAGAGGGGGAAAAAGCAUGGGAUGGGGACACAGACAGUGCUAUAUGGAGAUUAAUCAGUUAGCUUUCUGUCACUAUAACAAAAUAUCUGAGAGAAUUAACUUACAAAGAGAAAAGGUUUUACAAGUCCCAGCCCUGACAAGACUGACCCACUGCUUUGACUUGAAGAGUUGUAGAAAAUAACAACAUGCACAAGAUUUUUAUACUUAGGUGUUUGGAUUUCCUCUUGUUUCCUCUUUGCCUCCAUCUGAAGAGCAUUGGAGUGGGCUGAUGACAUGGAGGCUGAGAGACAGCGCCUCCAUUGCAUGAUUUAACCAUGCUUCUUCCAGAGCAAGGGGGUGCAUUGCCUCAUGACUUUCUGGGUGGGUUGGAUUUGUUUUUUGGCCUUCAUCAUUUACACUGGUCAUUGACACUACCAGACCUUUCUACCUAACUGCACACUUAAAAUGUGGUCACGCUUCUGUGACUCCCUUUGCACCAUGCCCUGGCUGCCCGAGUACCUUAAGAUCUCCAUUCCAGGCAGGCCUGGGCUAAGCUCUUGAAAAGUCUGGAACUAGCCACCACUCCUGCACUUACCUUUAGCAGUAACACACGUUUCUCCUUUUAAUGUUCAUGUGCGUUCCAUAUUUCCAGAUUGAAAACUCAUCUGGUUAAACAUCCUCAGACCAUAUUAUGAUGUUUACUGCAAGAGUAAUAUGAAUUCUCAAGAGGUUCUUUAAAUAACUCUGGCUAGGUAAAUAAAUAAAUGAUACCAGUUGUCAUUUACUGCACACCUACCAUGUCCCAGGAACACUUUUAAACUACUGACAUGUAUGCAUUUAGUGCUCACCAAACCCUCUAGUGUAGCUGUCCUGGUGAGGUGAAUUUGAGAGCAUUUGAACACCUGAACAGUAGCCGUGCCCCAGUCUGCAGCUUCUAGGUAAAAAGGAAGGGCCUGGCUUGGGAGAUAAUCUAUAAUUUUUAUAUAUGAAAAUUCAAGAUUUUAACAGUGUGGGGUAUAUGUGUGUAUAUUUUAUAUACUUAUUUUAUGGACACAUGUUAGACUAUGUUAUAACUACAUCAUACACUGUGAGAACUGAACAAAUGUGCUUCCUGGGCAGCGUACCACCUCAGGCCCAGCAAAGAGCCUCUAAGUCAACAGUCUACUCUGGGAUGGUGAGAAAAGCACAGCAUUGGAGCAGCUGUAUAACAGGGUGGUUACCUCUUCAUUUCAUGGACCCUUGAGAUCCUGAGUUUAGAUAGAAGUUAGUGGCAAACUGUCAGCUAGAUCACACUGUUGUGGGCAUUGGAAGUGUAUUCCUAGAGUUCGUUGCAAAUUAGGGGCUUGGUCCAUGCCAUUAAUUUCUUCUUUUUUUUUUUUUUUUUUGUACCAGGGAUCGAACUCGGGUCCUUGUGCUUGUGCAGCAGGUGGCAAAACCACUGAGCUAAAUCCCCGGCCCAUCAUUAAUUUAUUCUUUGGGAGGAAGCUCUGGGUAUGGAAACAAGGUCCUGGUACAUCCUAGGUGAAUGCUCCACCACUGAAGCAUACCCACAUCCCUCAGUCAGCUGAACAGGGCGCUGAGCCCACUCUCAGGGAAAUGGGGUCCACAAGAUUCUCUUCUUACUCUUACCCUCCACGGGAGCACCUGACCCAGCCCAAGGACUCAUUUUUUAUGUGAUAUUUGCAAGCUUCUCUAUCUAUACCUUUAUUCCUCCUGGGUAAAAAGUUUGAUAGGAAUGUAAGUGGGUAUCCUUGAAAGAAUAUUUCUAUUUUGACAGGGACCAGUGACUUUGAGUAGCUUGAGAGAAUACUCACGUGAGCCUGAGAAUGCCAUGAGAGAUUGGGCAUAGACACAUUCCCUUUUACCCACCAUGACUCCACAGCCUCCCUAGCUGUUUGUCUCUCUCUUCUACUGAGGCUUCAGGUAGUAUUCUUUUACAAAAAAGGGGCUCUGUGGCAAUGAUGAAGGUAUCUGGAAAAGUUAAAACCUUCCAGCCAAGUUCUAAGCAUCAAUCAUUUUGUUAUCAAUUUUCUGCAAAAAGUUGUGGAUUUUUUUCCCCUGCUCAUAAAUGCCUCCUAGAAAAAUAAGAGUUGCAGUAGGCACUUUCUUUUCCCCAGGCACAGAACUAUCAAACUUCUCAGCUGGAAUUCAGAGACAGUAAGCAAACUCCCUAAAUACUAACAUGGCAUACGAGCUGUUUUCCUGGCAGGAUGGUUUUGUGCCCAUCAACUUGGGAGUGCUAUGGCAACUCAGUGGGGCCUUGCUGAAUAGCAGUGGCACUGGGACUCUUCACUAAGGUCCUUCUGGUGCCAAGCAGUCCCCAAGUCAGAGCAUGUGCUGAUUUCAACAUUUGUUGUCACUGUAGAUAAAGAACAAUCAGCAAAGAUCCUGAUCCCAUGACCCAUUUCUCAAUUCUUCUGGUUUCUGGGAAUCAGCAUACUGAUUAUGUAGACUUGGCUGACUAGGAGAGGCUUGGGAUUCCCCUACUGGCUUAUGUCCUAUUUUGCAAAAUGAACAACUGUUUUCUUUUUCUUCCUCAUUUGCAAGGUAGGGAAAAUACUUCCUCUAGCCCUGUAGCAAAUCUCCUUACUUUGCAAUUGCAUCUUGGUGUUCUGCUAGGUUGGUUAGGUGAAUAGGGGUCUGGUGUCACAAGGCUAAAGAGAAGUGAGGGCCUGGAUAGUUCAUUUUUUUCUUCCUUAGCCUUUCCUUUUUCUUAUUCCCUCUUCUACCUUUCAUUUAUGUUUCAGGUUAUUUAAUGGAAAAUUGAAAGCAAUAUUUUAAGUAAAAUGCCUGCGUUCUCUUAAUGGGCAUGGCUGUGGCCAACAGACCUAUAGGUCGAAUGGCUAUGACACCAAGCAGUGGGCACAUACACGUGCGUCGGCCAGUGUGCCCAAAUCAAGUACUGUAUGUGUGUGGAACCACAUGCUCUUCUAGAGCUUUUCAGAGCCGGGUGUAUGCUGGGCUGCAAGUGUUUUUCACUUCUUUUUAGUUUUUAAAUGAAGACCCUUUUUAGUUAUCUACCUCGGAUACUCCAUGAAAUGGAAGAAUACCUCACUGCAUUUACCAACUCCAUUGUGUGGCUUAAUUGAUGGUCAGUGUGGGCCUUCUUUGGGUUUUCAGAAUGUGGGAGUUAAUCAUAGUGCUUCCGUUGCUCCCUUUGGCAAUUCUGAGGAGCUACGAGGAUCCUGAUUUGUUCGCUGCAGUUUUAAAUGACAGUGUGUGGGAAACAAAUCAAGGAGUUCUGAGUCUGGUGGAGCUGCAGCUAGGGGCCUGUUCGUACAACCUCCAUGUCCUCAUCUGUAAAGUGAAGGACAAGAAGCAUCUGCAGUCCAAGGCCCCUUCUGGACUCCUGGUUUGAAGCCAGAGAAAUGCACAAUCUUGGAACGCUGAGACGUGGAUACCGCAUGUCUAAUGGAUGGAAUCUUUUUUUGUCUGGGGUAGAAAUAUACAACUAUUGACUGUGUUACGCAUAUGGAGUAAAACUGAUUGCAGGUGGUACAACGGUUUCUUCCUUUCUGCCUCUCCACCUUCCCCUGGCACCAGUUUCCUAUGCUUGGAGAUACGAAUAAUGGGAGCCCAGUGAUCAUGAGAAAAUUCUACUGGGUUGAUGAACAACAACAGUGAAGGGCAGGAACAGUACAAAACCAGUACUGGGAGGACAACUGAGACCCAUAAUUACUCAGUGAGUUGACCUUGCCCUCCUCAGGACACCUGAUGUGCUGCUGAGCGAUAAAAUAUAUGGCUCUGGUAUCAGAUGCAAAUUCACAUCUCCCCACACUGGUAGGUUUCCUGUGAUCCUCAGGCCACGCACUCAUUGACACCCAUCUUUUUCAUUUGCAAUAUAAGUAUAUAAAAAUUAGAUUUUUGUGGGAUGAAAUGAUAGAGCUAUAACUAUUACUAUUAAUUUUUAGUCUGCAGUGUGUCAAGAACAUUAUCCUGACAUGAGUUCUCUUUAUGUACUAAUAUCUAUUUUAUUUUUUUAAAAAAUCUAUUUUAUUUCUAGUUUUCCAGUGAUCUCUGAUAAAAUCACAGGUACCACAGACCUGUGAUGCUCUAUUAAAAUCUAAACAUUUUUUUCUGAGUCAGAAAUAUUUUAAAAAAUCUCAGGAACUUCCCAUACAAGAGUUUAAUUAGGUAAACACAUCAAAGAAUAGCUUAGAUUAUUUUGUUUAUAGUCUCAAGAGAAAGUUCUAAAGGACAUACUCCUUUUAACUUUAAUACACUUUUCCAGGAUCCAUUGUUUUAUUUUGAUUUAUUCCUUAUAAGUACAUUUAAAUGACUGCUAUGAAAUGACAUUUAGGAUACAAAUAUUUUUAAUCUUAAUUUUUAAUAAUUUCUUGUCUUAAAACUCAUAAUAUUUUGAGUUCUAAUAAUAAAACUGGAAUUUUGAUUUUUACAAGUAAUAUCUCAACCAAGAAUCAUCAUAUACAAACCAAAAAAUUUUCAAGACAGUCUGGAUUGUAUUCAAAGUAACAAACAUUAUUCAAAAGUACAAAUUUCAUUCAUAUUUAUUGCAACUCUAUUCAUAACAGCUAAGAAAGGGAAGCAACUUGAGCAUCUAUCAACUGAUGAGUGAACAAGGAAAAUGGGUUAUGUAUACAUAAUGGAAUACUAUUCAUCCAUAAAGAAGGUUGAAAUCCUGUCAUUUGCAAUAUAACAUGAAUGGAAUUGUUGAUCUUUAUAUUAAGUGAAAUCAAUCAGGCACAAAAAAGACAAACAGCACAUGAUCUUGCUCAUAUGCAAAAUCUAAAUAUGUUGAUCUCAUAAAAGUUGUGAGUACAGAAUGAUACAUGUCGAAGAGAAUAGAGAGAGCACAAGGACAGGGAGAGGCUGGCCAAUGGGGAUGAAGUUGCAGUUAGACAGGAGUAAGAUAUUCUGGUGAGCUCCUGUAUGGCAGGGUAACUAGAUAACAAUAAAGUAGUGUAGAUUUUAAAAAGCUAGAAGAGAGGAUAUUGAAUAUCUGUUCCAUAAAAAUGAUAAAUGUUUGUGGAAAUGGACAUACUAACUCUGAUUUGAAUAUUAUACAAUGUAUGAAUGUAUCAAAACUUUACAUGGCUCCUCUUGAUGUGUAUAGUUUUGUAUUUCUAUCAUCAAUUAAAAAUAAAUUUCAAAAAUCCUCAAAAAUAAAUAAAUGACUCACUUGCUUGGCUGUGUUGACUUCUAUUUUCCAUAGUGACUAGAAAAAUCCAAAAGAACUGACUGAAUGUGUCAGAUAUCAUACAGACAGAAUUAGUCAAGAGAAAGUUGACUUCCUUAGAUAUACAUCUUCUCUUAUAUAGAGUCAGACCUAUCCAAAGUAAGAAGAGUGAGAUAAUACUUUAUUGUCUUUUUGUUCUUUUUAGCAUUUAAGGUAGUAGUAGUAGUUGCUGAUAUUUUCAUCGACAAAUAUAAAAUUUUUUUAGUAACUGUUUUUUUUGUCCUUGAGGCUGAACGUAUAACAGAGCCAAUCACGUUACUUCAUUCUGCAAGUGAGGGUAGUUGAUUGACAGAUGCCAUGUGGCCCAAGCUGAACUAAUCUGAAUUCUUCACUUGGCUUUGUUUUGCUGCAGCUAUCAGGGAAUACUUUCUUUCUUCCUAGGUUGAUAAGGAUGGGACUCCCAUACUUCAGGUAUUCAGUAAAUGCUUAACUUUGCCCACUGAAAGUUCAGCUCUUUGUUCACAGCUCCAAGGGUGGUGAACUCAAAACCCACAAGAUACUAUCCUUGAUAAGGAUGGCUGUAUGUAUCUGGGGUUUGAGACAGCCAGACUGUCUAUGCUAACAAUGCAAUUUUUGGUGAGGGCUUGGGCUAUGUGAUACCCCUCAAGCUAUAGAGGAGCUGGAGACAAAAGAUAGGCUCAUAAGUGAUCAAUGUGUCUACAUGGCAGACUCCUAACAAAAAAUCUGGACAACAAAACUUGGAUGAGCUUUCAUGGUUGGGAAUAUUCUGUGUGUGUUAUUACACAUCCUUGCUGAAAGAACAGUGUGCAUCCACCUAAUUUCACUAGGAAUGGGCAACUG
rnacentral:lncRNA from 1 species